CUGUACUCUUAAAAUGGUUAAGACAAUAAAUUUGAUAUAUGUAUUUUACCACAGUACAAAAAAUUGGAAAAAAGCUAAUGUAUUAACGUAUUGUUUAGAGCUUUAACAUUUUCCAAGUGCUUUUCUAUCUCUGCCCUAUGUGAGGGCAGGAACCUUGUCUAGUGUAUCUCGGAGAUGUAUCCACAGUGCCUGCAUAGAGCCAGGUGCUGUGAUAGACAUAAAAAUCAUUGUUAAAUAUUGCUGAAUGGGCAUAUUUUCUUAUUGAAGCAUUAUACCUGCUUUAUGAGACCAUAUAGAACACAGCUAGUUCUGUGCUCUAUAAAGUCAUCGGGAAUAUUGAAUUAGUGAAUAGUGGAUACUGAACCCUUGCUCUUAGGGUAAAUACAGAGUGAGGUUUCUUUGAGCCUCUGGUCACAACAUUUUCAUCAAUUAAUAAAUAACCUUGUGCAUUUCUGUUUAAAGAUGCCUUACUUAAUAUAUAUUGUUGAUUCAUGAAGAUCGAACUCACAGCCAACAGCGCUAUAACUCAUGCCUGAAUGAAGCUUAUCUAACACAGGCGUUUUCUCUGUAGGGUACAUCACAGCCUUCUUGUGCUUAAAGACGGUAGACAACACUUCAGUGCUAUGGUUGGGGGCCAUUUUAAACAGCAAAAUCACCAAGAAAAAGCACAAAAAUGUGAAAAGGUGGCACUAAAUAGAACACAAAAAGUGCACCUCUUUUCAGUAUCAGGGCUAAAAACAGAAAGCACGGUGUCACCUUGUUCUCCCUCAGCUGAGCACAUUCAUGUCAGAUGACUUCGAUUUUUUGCCUCUCUGCAUAUCUGUGAAUGAUCAUGAAAGCAUGUGAAACUAGGAGACCCAGAAUAUUCUCGAACUACAAAUUAUGUGUACAUGCUGCCCCAAACACCUGAGGCCAAUGGAGGCUGGCAAAAAGCUGCAUGGUAAAUGGUGAUGGACAAUGGAAAGGAGGUGAGGAUGCAGCAGCUGUGGUGGGAGUCUCAGAAAACACAGCAGUGUUCACUUCCAGAGCAGAGGGCCCCAUCUGGGGUGGCAGCUCCCGUGAACAGAGAUGAAAUCAGAGUGACCAACUCUUCCUAGUUGCCUGGAACUUUACUGGUUUUAGCACUGAAAGUCCUAUGUCCUAGGAACCUCCCCAAACCUGGGCAAACUGGGACGCAGCUCACCCCAGAUGAACUGGAACAGAGUGGGCCACCAAAGGGAGAUGGCAAAGGCCUGGGACCGCACGGGU
rnacentral:lncRNA from 10 species